CUGGCAUGCAAGGCUCCCCCCCAGGGCAGGAGGCACCCCAGGGGCUCCUGGGCACCCCCUGCACGCUCCCCAUUGGGGCCAGGGUGGUCCCGCUGCGUGCUGUGGCAGGAAGGGAGAGACCUCAGUGCCCACCACUGGCUCCUUCUGCAGAGACGAAGUUGUCUUGUGCCUCUUGCCCAUCGACUCCAUUUCUGAGCCGAUUGAAUGCAGAGCCCAGGCUGGCGUCCGGAAGCCACCGGGCCAUCGGGCCCCCGGAUAACGGCUUCUCCAUUGAUUGGCUGAGAACCAGGCCAUCAGCAGAAUGCUUUCCCAUCGAAGCUGUCCCCUCCCACCAUCAGAUUCCACCCAGCGCUUCUAAUAGAACAUCAGAAUGGGCCGUCCAAGAGCACGCCCUUGACCCCCACCUUCCAUGGCUCUGGAGCCUUUUUUGGGCAUUUUUAUAAAAAUAACAU